GCCCUGUGCUCCCAAGGCUGCCUGCGGGGAAGGGAGAUCCCCUGGCGGAGCCGGGAGCGGCGGUUCUUGCCGUUGUGCAGGGCUCUGCAUCAAGGGACAUAGCAUGUAGCCACCCUUUUGGAUGGACCAAGGCGGCGGCCUCAUCAGUCCAGCCAUCCCUCUUUUCUACGUGCUGUGCGCGGCCGGCCAUCGUUCAGCAAUCCCGCAUACACACCGGCUCUCCACCGCCAGGGGUUGGUCACUUACACGUGGCGGCCGUCUCCUGUAGGUCAGCUGCAGCUCGUGUGAACAUGGAGGCCCCUGUUAAAAAUCAUGCACCAAGGUGGAAUUUCACUGGAGUUCUGAGAGAGUAUCCCUUAUGCUUUUUCUUUAUAUUUUCUCAAGCCUAUUUAUUGUUCACUGCUUUCAAGAUCUAACUGUGUUCAUAUCAGCAUUGAACAGAAAUUUGCUUUUCUGAUAAUCUUCUAUCAUGAUGCCAGAGAUCACCAAAGAGUUAUCUUACUACUGGAAAAAUAUUCCGUUGUUUGAGUACUGGUAAAACAAACUGACAGAAUAUAGAAACAGCAGAAUGAAGCAACUCAGCCUACUGUGUUUUUGAGUGAAAGAUACUAUUCUGGCCUUGAAUUUUAUGAUUAAAAGUACCCCAUGUGUAUGAGUUUGCCACUUUUGAAUAAAUCCCACAGAAUGGUGAUAAUAAUAGAUGCAUUAGACUUGCAUUUCAGCUUCCACCCCACAUUAGCUACCAAAAUUCUAUUUUGAGUUUGUGCUGCUGCUUCUGUCUAAACAUUCACUCUGUACUUGAUACCUUCAUGCUGAAACAAACUAAAGCUGUUCAUG